CCUACGGGAGGCAGCAGUGAGGAAUAUUGGUCAAUGGACGCAAGUCUGAACCAGCCAUGCCGCGUGCAGGAAGACGGCUCUAUGAGUUGUAAACUGCUUUUGUACGAGGGUAAACGCAGAUACGCGUAUCUGUCUGAAAGUAUCGGACGAAUAAGGAUCGGCUAACUCCGUGCCAGCAGCCGCGGUAAUACGGAGGAUUCAAGCGUUAUCCGGAUUUAUUGGGUUUAAAGGGUGCGUAGGCGGUCGGAUAAGUUAGAGGUGAAAUCCCGAGGCUCAACUUCGGAAUUGCCUCUGAUACUGUUAGGCUAGAGAGUAGUUGAGGUAGGCGGAAUGUGUGGUGUAGCGGUGAAAUGCUUAGAGAUCAUACAGAACACCGAUUGCGAAGGCAGCUUACCAAGCUACUUCUGACGUUGAGGCACGAAAGCGUGGGGAGCAAACAGGAUUAGAUACCCCUGUAGUC
rnacentral:rRNA from 1 species